rnacentral:rRNA from 1 species
GUACACGCUGUGACUAGCAUAUCAAUAAGCGGAGGAAAAGAAACUAACAAGGAUUCCCCUAGUAACGGCGAGUGAAGCGGGAAGAGCUCAAAUUUGAAAUCUUAAAGGGUUUCCCUUUACGAAUUGUAGUUUAAAGAAGUGUUUUCUGUUGAGGUUUUGGUAAAAGUUCUUUGGAAUAGGACAUCAUAGAGGGUGAGAAUCCCGUAUUUGACCUUUACUUUCAACUUUGUGAUACACUUUCAAAGAGUCGGAUUGUUUGGGAAUGCAGUCCAAAUGGGUGGUAAAUUUCAUCUAAAGCUAAAUAUUGGCGAGAGACCGAUAGCGAACAAGUACCGUGAGGGAAAGAUGAAAAGAACUUUGAAAAGAGAGUUAUACAGUACGUGAAAUUGUCAAAAGGGAAGCGUUUGACACCAGUGUUGUUUUUCUGAAAAUCAAUUAAAGAACUGUUUAUGCUAAGCUGUUUAGACUUUAUCAGCUAUCUGUUUAGUUUUGAGCUUUUCUUUAAUGCACUUUUCAGUUAACAAGUCAACAUCAAUUUCUUUUGCUGUAAAAAAGCUUGAGGAAGGUGGCUUGAGAUUCGUCUUAAGUGUUUAUAGCCUCUUGCCUAUGCAGUCGGAGAGAUUGAGGUCUGCAGCGUAGAUCCUUCGGGGCUAAAUGCAUUUGUGCUAAGUUAUAGCAUUUUAUAGACAACUUGUUGACUAUGAUUUGUCUUGUAGCUUACUCGCUUAUGUUAUUUUACCUACGCUUAGGAUGUUGAUAUGCAUGACUGAUAU